rnacentral:rRNA from 1 species
AGUGAACGCUGGCGGUAGGCCUAACACAUGCAAGUCGAACGGCAGCACAGUAAGAGCUUGCUCUUACGGGUGGCGAGUGGCGGACGGGUGAGGAAUACAUCGGAAUCUACUUUUUCGUGGGGGAUAACGUAGGGAAACUUACGCUAAUACCGCAUACGACCUACGGGUGAAAGCAGGGGAUCUUCGGACCUUGCGCGAUUGAAUGAGCCGAUGUCGGAUUAGCUAGUUGGCGGGGUAAAGGCCCACCAAGGCGACGACCCGUAGCUGGUCUGAGAGGAUGAUCAGCCGCACUGGAACUGAGACACGGUCCAGACUCCUACGGGAGGCAGCAGUGGGGAAUAUUGGACAAUGGGCGCAAGCCUGAUCCAGCCAUACCGCGUGGGUGAAGAAGGCCUUCGGGUUGUAAAGCCCUUUUGUUGGGAAAGAAAAGCAGCAGGUUAAUACCCCGCUGUUCUGACGGUACCCAAAGAAUAAGCACCGGCUAACUUCGUG